UGUGAUUUGGAGGCAUUUUCAAGGAAAGGAUUAAGAAAGAAUGAUUUUUUAAUAGCAUAAAGACAAGCCAAGAGAGGCAUGUGCUCUCUGUGACCUAAUGAAUAUUCCUUCCUUUCUCUCACAAAGCUCAAAGCCUGUAAUUGGCUCAUCAGGGUACAAAGUGUACACUCGGGCUUGGAUUGUGGGGGACAGAAACUUCCCAUGUGACUCCAUCUCCUCAAUGGGGAUGUCUGUGUUCCCACACUUGUUCAGAAACAUGUUCUGCCAUUCACAGACUCAUAGAGGGGAGCCAUUUAGGCUUGAUGUCAGGAAAAGAGGUAAAAACAACUUCCUAACAAUGAGAAGCAUACAAAAGGGAAAUCGACUACCUGGGGUAUGGUGGAGGCUGAGUGGGAGAGGAAAGGCAAAAUCUUGGCCUCUCUUUUACUGGAGGUCUUCAAUCAGAGGUUAGAGAAGCGGGGAAUGGAGAGGGGCAUGUGGGAAGAAGGAUUUUUUUUAAUAUAUGGACUAGACAAGGUAGCCAUGGAGAAACUUCCUAACCUUAUGAAGCUAUGGUUACAUUAUAGAAUAUAAGAGAUGGUAGGAAUGUAGAAUCUAGAGAACAGUGAAUGUCAGUGUUGAGAGAAGCCUUAGAACAGAGAAUGUCAGAACUCUGUGGAGCCUUAGAACAUAGGAUGUCAGAGUUGGGAGAGUCAUGUUAGAACAGAGAAUAUCAGGGUUGGGGGAUGGACCUUAGAACAGGUAAUAAGAGAACUACAGGGGCCUGAGAACAGAGGAUAUCAAGACAGAAAGAGACCUUUUGGAGGUAACAUUUGGAUGUAACAAUGUGCUCCGGUCAUUGAAGAAGCCAUUUUUUGUAGGAACAAUGACAGAGGAUGACCAUGAACAAGGAACUUUUAUGGAAUUGCAGAAUUUUAGAACUGGAAGAACCCCAGGAGGUCAUACAACAACAAGAAGAAGCAUUUUAAUUAGCACUUUAAAACUUCAGAGCAAGUUACAUAGACUAUCUCAUUUGACACUUCUAAUGACCCUACAAGUUGAAUGCUUGCUGCUGCUUGGUAAGAAAGGAGUUUACAAAAAUGCAAGAGGAAGAUGCAAGAUCAAAAUUCCAUUUGGAAUUCCAAUUACCUGGGACUGGACAGGAAGAGACAGUGGACCCCUUCUCUGUGGCUGUCUUGAGAUACCUGCCUGCUUCCUGCUGUUCACACUACAAAGAGAACCUGGAUUUCUUCUGGAGGUGUCUUUAUUUGGAGCAAAGGAAGACUCUUGUCUGGGCCAAUCACAGCUUCCAAAUUGUCUAGCACUGACCAGGGGGAAGAAGACCAUCCAAGAGAGACUAGAUCAGCUAGAAUAUGCCAAGCUUUUGAGUCUGAGAUGCAAGCCAAGGGGAGUGCAUGGAAUGAAAAAUGAAGGCCUUCAUUUUUGUGAUCACCCUUCCUCUGGGCUUAAGGAAGGCAGCCCACCAUGUUUUUAUCUUCAUCUGCAGAUGAAUUUAAAAUAUGCUGCUUAGGGUAAUGAUGGAUGAGGACCACUUUUCAAUAGCCCAAUUACUCCCCUAGAGGUUGGGGCCUCUUCUGGGAUUGCAGAUAUAUCAUGGAUAGAUUCUGCCAGGGAAGCCCAGGUUUUAUUGUCCCUACCACGCAUGAAGGAGCAGGAGUCAAGCUGCCCAUCAUGUUGCUUCUGAUUCUAAUCCAGAGUGUCAUUUCUAUUUAAAAUGCCAGAGAAAAGGUCGUGAGGAUGACCUCCCUUCUCCUGCUCCGACAACCCCUGCAAUUCCAUCUCCUGAGAGAUACCAGAUAUGAGAUGUCCAUUUUAGAAAUGUUUAGAGAGAAAGAGAAUGACCUUUGCAAGUCAUGAACCUGAGAAGGCAAGACUUCAUUCUGGUCAAUGCUUAGGGCUUUAGCUAGUAGCACAAGGAGAAUUUGUAAUCAAAAUCGACUUCUCCCCCCUUCCCACCCACAAUUCCAUCCUUUCAAGGUUCAUCCUCAGAUAGCCUCAGUAAACUUUAAGAGGAUAUUUUUAAUGUAAGAGAAUUCCUUUCAUUUUCAGGUCAGGUCACUAGGCAGGUUUUUGAGAGCUGGGGCCCCUGCUGUCCCCUCUUCUCUCCAGAGAAUUGUCCCAAAGCAUAAGGAUGACUUUUACUUGAAGAGUUUCUGUAACUUUUCAAAAGACUGCCACAUUCAUGGUCUUUUUGAUCUCACCAAUAGCAUAGAGAAGUAAGGCAGGGCAGGGAUGGUGAAAUAUAGUUGUUGAGCAUUAUGAUAUAGUAGAAGGAAAAGUCUCCUUAUUAGAUACAUUUACUCUUCUUAGAUGUGGAGAGAUAUGAAUGUGCAUCCCACUUCAGCUGCCUGAUGGAUAUGUAAAAUGAAUGUGGCCCUUAUGAUCUCCUAGAAUCCUUAUUCCAAGUCACAGUCAUUGAAGAGUCAGAGCUCCUAGCAAGGAUAUACCUCCUCAGAGUUUGGGGACAAUACUGCGGGCAGAG
rnacentral:lncRNA from 1 species